ensembl:lncRNA
CUGCAUUAUUCGAAAUGCUCAAGAUAACAAAACAACCUAAGUGACCACGCUCAGUGUGGUUUGGGUGCAGAGGUGGGAGAAAGCUCCAUGAAGCAGGCGUGAGAUCUCAUGCACAGCUGGCACAAACAAACAUCUCUAGAUGAAGAGCUGUCACUGAAGACCAAACAUGGAGCAGAUGUAUUCUUAACUUCUACAUGGUCCCUGGCUUUAAUGAACAAAGGAAUGAACAAAAGAUCUGAAGUACAACUUCAGUGAACACAAAGUUCAGAAGGCUGUGAAAGGAAGCCAUGGUUCAGACAUUGGCAGGAAAGCCAAUAAGGUUCUAACCUGUGGAGAGACCCCAGAGGUUCCUCCUCUCCUUCAGGAUAACCAGAAGAGAAAGAAGUUGUCUUGAUGUGGGGAAGAAGCAAAGAAAUGAAAACUGGGGCUGGGCAUUUUUCCCUACCCCUCAAUUUGAACAGUGCCUUUUAUUUCAUUUCUGCUUCUUCCCUACUGAUUUGGCCAUCAGCACAAUCCUGGCUAACAAGACAUGGAGGGAAGGCUUCCUGGAACACGUGGAGCAAAGUCAGGAAGAUGACCCAAGUGAAGGAAGGACAACAGAGCUGACCUUGGAGGACAUGGGCCAGGAGAUCUAAGAUGAGAUUCCCAGGACUGCUACCUAGGUCCAACUUAGACUCUGAGAACCAAGGAAAAUGAACCUCACCCAAGUUCCUAGGUGGCAACUGAGGACCAGCCCACUGGGAGGCCAGCUGGGGUCCCAAGCCUGGUUAUUCAAAGUAUGGGCUCUAGAACAACAGCCCUGGCAUCAUCUGGAGUGUUUAGGAUGUAGAAGCUCAACUCCCAGUCCCCACUUAACACAUUAGACCUCUGGGUGCUUUUGGCGAGCAUAAAAUCUUGAGAAGUACAUCUCAGAGAACCCGAGGCAAGGUCAAGGAUCAGUCAGGGUUGGUUGAGGGACUGAACCUCAGUAGGGUUGGGAGUGAGAGCAGGUCAGAAGGGAGAGAAAUACUUGAAGCUGUCUCCACGAGCUGUGGGUAUAUGGUUAUGUGGUAUGCAGGUAUAUCUAGACUCUAAAAGGGGUUUGAAUUCUCCAGUCAGCCUUCUCUGAGACUGUAAAAGACAGGGGCCCAUCUUCCUCCUUCAUCUGUUCCAGACCUACCCAGACAUCUCAGAGCUCCAAGAUAUGUACUCAUUCUUUGUUGAACUGAAUGGGGUCCCCCAGAAAUCCCACUAGUCAUAUAUCCUGAGUUUAUGAUCAUAGAGAGUCACCUUUGAUUCUGCAUCUCCCCCAGGAAUCUCUUGGUGUAAUAAGUAUGCUUGGGUGUUUUCUGUAGCACAAAUCAAAGCAAAACAAAAUACCCUGCUGGGUCACAGCAGAUCCAGCACCACAUCCCCCGAGAGUUCAGGCGGUGUCCAAAGAACUCAUCAUGAGAGCUGACCUGCUAAUGUGUGAUUUCUGCAAAAGGGCCAACGAACCUGCUGGCUCCCAUGACGGCUGUCUGGAAAGUCAGUGCCCAGGCGCCAAAUCCAGAGGUGCGCUUUGUACUUGGAGAGACAGAAUGGCCAGCCACCUCGAGGCUUCAGGAGCUGGAUCAGUGCACAGCAGCCUCCAACUGGCAAGAGUUAAUGCUAAGGUGCAGCUGCAGGAAUGUGAAGCUGGAGAGCUAGCUCGGGGAAUUGCUAUUGCAAUCAGAGGACAGCCCAAGUCAGAGUUCCAAAACCCUUUGAAGGGCUGCCAGCUCGGACACAUGUCUCCAAUUAUCAUAUGCAAUCUUGAGGCAGUGUGCAAGCUGCACUUUCAUUAUGUCAAAGUGAAAGGAGUGGUGAGGGAGAGAUAAAGUGGGGAGAGGCCGCCAGGCCGGAGACUGCUUCGCUGUGGCACCAAAUGUCAGCCCGGGUGCAGAGUGAGCCUCCAACGUAUGUCUGUCCGGGAGCCCGAGGUGUGUGGCUCCUACUCUGAGAGCCUUUGUUUUCUUUCUUUCAUUCUGAGGAUGGAGGAGAACCAGCUGACAGCCACAGGAGGCCCUGUCUCUAGGAAACUUGACCAUCUCUUUGGUAUUGGAUCUGACCACAGAUAAGAUUCUGUGGAAACUUCCCAGGGACAUCCACUGUGUCCAGCCACAGGCUUUCAGGGACAAAAUUGAGGCUUGAGGGAAGCAACCACAACAACAAAAAAAACAAGAUGAAGGGGAUGGUGACUACAUCCUGCUCUGUGGAGGAUUCUGCAGUCUCUCUGUUACCUUUGCUGCUCUUAAGACAGUGGUCAUGAGUACAUUCUGUCUGUUUCCUUUCCUAUUUAGAGGAAAGGAAAGCAGCUGUGCCCACCUGACUUGGCCCCUCUCCCCUCCAUCUUCCUGGGCUUAUUUGUGUUAGUCUUACUAUGUUUGUCUUUAUCUGUUCUAUAGCAACCCUCGUCUCUACAGGUCUUAAUGGUCCCAGCUAGUUCUGGUCACUUGUGGAAAACGUCUCAGGAAGAAUAAAAAGUUUUCAAAAGUUCACUUCUGACUGGUUACUGACUUUCUAGUUGGAAGCAGAUGCUGGGGUACUAGGCCACUGACAGUUGCUGCUAGAGCUGUUUGUGGGUGGCAAGAAGUUUGGAAGCCUUACUGUUUUCUUGGGGUAGGGAUGCCUUUCUACAGGAAGCCACAGGGGAAUAAUGGAGAGGCAGCCAUCAUUGUUAAGGUAAUCUUAACAUGAAAUCAGAUAUGCCAU